ACUGUUUAUUAAAAACACAGCACUCUGCAAACACGAAAGUGGACGUAUAGGGUGUGACGCCUGCCCGGUGCCGGAAGGUUAAUUGAUGGGGUUAGCUAACGCGAAGCUCUUGAUCGAAGCCCCGGUAAACGGCGGCCGUAACUAUAACGGUCCUAAGGUAGCGAAAUUCCUUGUCGGGUAAGUUCCGACCUGCACGAAUGGCGUAACGAUGGCGGCGCUGUCUCCACCCGAGACUCAGUGAAAUUGAAAUCGCUGUGAAGAUGCAGUGUAUCCGCGGCUAGACGGAAAGACCCCGUGAACCUUUACUAUAGCUUUGCACUGGACUUUGAAUUUGCUUGUGUAGGAUAGGUGGGAGGCUUUGAAGCGUGGACGCCAGUCUGCGUGGAGCCAACCUUGAAAUACCACCCUGGCAACUUUGAGGUUCUAACUCAGGUCCGUUAUCCGGAUCGAGGACAGUGUAUGGUGGGUAGUUUGACUGGGGCGGUCUCCUCCUAAAGAGUAACGGAGGAGUACGAAGGUGCGCUCAGACCGGUCGGAAAUCGGUCGUAGAGUAUAAAGGCAAAAGCGCGCUUGACUGCGAGACAGACACGUCGAGCAGGUACGAAAGUAGGUCUUAGUGAUCCGGUGGUUCUGUAUGGAAGGGCCAUCGCUCAACGGAUAAAAGGUACUCCGGGGAUAACAGGCUGAUACCGCCCAAGAGUUCAUAUCGACGGCGGUGUUUGGCACCUCGAUGUCGGCUCAUCACAUCCUGGGGCUGAAGCCGGUCCCAAGGGUAUGGCUGUUCGCCAUUUAAAGUGGUACGCGAGCUGGGUUUAGAACGUCGUGAGACAGUUCGGUCCCUAUCUGCCGUGGACGUUUGAGAUUUGAGAGGGGCUGCUCCUAGUACGAGAGGACCGGAGUGGACGAACCUCUGGUGUUCCGGUUGUCACGCCAGUGGCAUUGCCGGGUAGCUAUGUUCGGAAUAGAUAACCGCUGAAAGCAUCUAAGCGGGAAACUAGCCUCAAGAUGAGAUCUCACUGGAACCUUGAGUUCCCUGAAGGGCCGUCGAAGACUACGACGUUGAUAGGUUGGGUGUGUAAGCGCUGUGAGGCGUUGAGCUAACCAAUACUAAUUGCCCGUGAGGCUUGACCAU
rnacentral:rRNA from 1 species